AAGUAGUUGAUAGCUUUUGCUACUUAUGCGACGAAAUUAGCAGUAGAAGUGGAUGUUGCAAAAGAGUGGUAGCUAGAAUAAGAACAAGUUGGGGGAAGUUCAGGAAGCUACUAUCUUUGCAGGUAACAAAGGGCUUAUCCCUCUUGAUCAAGGGAAGAAUUUUUUAUGCUUGCAUGCAAAGUGCAUUGCUGCACAGCAGCAAGACAUGGACUUUCAGCAAAGAAGACAUGUGAAGAAAAGAAAGCAACUAAGCAGCAUGUUUCACUCACCAUCUAUCCUCUUAACAACUGUCUAUUCUAUACCAUCUCAUCUUCCCUUCAUCUCUUCUGCUCACUGUGCCACACCAACCAAACUGAGAGACAUCUAAGAAUAUAUAAUGAAAUUUGCUGACAACUGAGAAAGAAAUUUAGAGGUAGUGGCAUGAUAAUGCUUGCUCACCAUUCCUCAUUGGCAAUACAGAUAAUGAGAUUCCUGUUGAUUUCACCAAAUCAGUUAAAAUAUUCUCAGAUUAUCAAAGAAAAAAUCCUUGUUUUGGUCUGGAUUUUCUCCGGAUCUGAACACUAUUAAAAAUUGAUGCAGAUCAUUAAAACUAAGUUAAAUUCAAGAACUUCUAAAAGUCAAGAAAUCUCUGUGUGGUAAAACAGGAAGAAUGGUACAGUUUACAGCUUUCUGAAUGUACAAUUAAAAGGAUUAAAAACCUACAAAAUAA
rnacentral:misc_RNA from 1 species